rnacentral:lncRNA from 1 species
UCCGAUAUGACGACAGCGGCGAGUUUCCCGAAGUCCAACCCCUGCACGAUGAUGGGUUCCGUUUUGGCACGCGUAUGUAAAAAUUAAUGUAAAAAUAACGAACUGCGCCGAUACGAAACGCGUGGGAAAAGCUUGGGAAAAUAUUUCGGGAAGAAGCGGAAUGACGUAAAGUUGUCCGAAUGUCUCGCACGAACGUUGCGAUGCAGAAUAGCAAAUAGUCCGUCCACGACGCAAUAGCGUAAUUUAGUUUCAAACGUGACGGAUGCUGUAAUUUGUGAGUGAUAACAGAUGCGAGGCGACCACAUUUUACGAUCGCGCGCUUUGCACGUCAUGGAAUUCUUAAUGUUCGGUUCUUUUAGCGUUUUUAGCGAGAAACGAUGAAUAAACACGUGGCAUACAAAGUAAGAAAUAGCCUGAUCACUGAGAAAAAUUUUCAUCGGAUAAAAACCGAUUACAUAGUAACAAACGGAUAUAUCUGAUUAAAGUGCAUAAAAGACAAAGGAAAAUGAUCGGACAUAUCCGAUGAAGGUAAUCGGAAAACAAAAUUAACAAUCGGAAAACUAUUUAAUCGGUUUAUCCGAUGAAAAAUUUUUCUCAGUGAUUGAUUCCUCUUAAAAAGACGAAAGUAAAGUUCACGUUUCUUUCUGCAGAUAACUAUUCAGAUUCGCGACGCUGAUCGAUGGUACAAAGAACAAGGACAAGGAUCGCGACAGCCAGGUCGUUUAAUCCACUUCGUGAGAUUGCACGGAUAAUACGAGAUCCGUGUUGUCAUCAAUCAUCAGUUUUCCUCGCAAUGAUAUCUACUCGCGAUGCGGAAGUACGAAAUAAAUCUCAAUCACAUCUGUGAGAGAUACGUACGAGAGAGAAUCCUCCGAGCGCUCGCAAAACUCAGGAUGGAAAAAUUCCGAGAACGCAGUUACGUGUUCUUCCAUGCAAAAAAGAAGCUAGAUGCAUAUGCACGACGAGCUACUAAAAAAAAAAAACUGAAACUGGAGAAAACACGCCUUCUCUGAUUGAUUAUACAACGCGUUUAAGUUUUAUCGCCUCGCGUGACCACAGUCAGAUAGUCCGCGUUCGCAAAAAUACGCGUAAGGAAACGCAUUUAUCAGUCCGCAGGUUCACGCGGUUAAAUACGAUACGUGUCUUCCGAGGGUUAAAGUCCGAAGAGCAAGAUUGUAUUCCAAAGUAUAUUAGGUAAUCAGAUCCCGUGCAACGGGAAUCAUUGGGCCGUCUCGGCUCGCCUGUUCGUAUUUUUCUCGGACGGCCCUAUCGGAGCGGGUCCGAAGUUCGACGUGGCUCGAGUAUGCCCCCCGUCCACGAGGGGCACGAGGACGUGCGGAAAAGACGCUCGUAACGCCGAUAAAGGUCCGUCUCCUCCUCUCCUGGCACUAUUCCCGGCCGCGUUGCGUCAUCGCGCUUGGUACUCGUGGCCCUCAUUCACCGCGUGUCACACGGACGCCCGAUCGAUUAUAGGAUCCCACAAUACGCGUUUAGCGUUUAUAAACUACCGGAUAUAAUUAAAGUCGACGCGUGAAUAAUGCUGUUUGUAUUAGCACACGUCAUGUGAUAUUGCUCACAUCGUACAGGCCACGUGGUCCCGCAGCGGUAUUGUUUUCGACGAGGAUCAACUCGCUCUAGACGAUCGCACGACGACUUUCAGUCUCGAUUAACGAGCAUCCGCGAUACUUGUGACCAUAUUACUUUACACAAAAAUGCGAGCGAUAAACCGCACGUUUGUGUAUAAUUUAUGGAGUAAUCGUGAACAAGGGGCUGAAGUAAUUUGGUUACGAUCAGCAGAUGCUGAGCCUACGUCCACGAACGCCGAUCUUGGGGUUAACCACGUUCGACAUGCUUUCGGCAUGGGUGUCCGAAUUAACGUUACUGACCCAAUUUACAAGCACGUUCGUUAGACACGUGGAAAUAAGCUGUGGUGCACUCACAUCCGCGACCCAUCCUCCGCAACGUAUUUAGCGAACGUGACACAAUGGCAAAUGCAAGGUAACUCGACACCGCACCGACAAGCUUCUAAGGGUUUAACCCAAAUCAAAUACGGCAGCCUGCGUACUGGAGUUUUACUAAUAAAAAAUCCAUAAGGAAACACCAGUCGACAAGAAAUACAAGAAACUCGAGACCAAACGCGACUAUCUAGACUUGCGCGCAACAAUAUUUGCUUUUCAUACGAGUAUCCAAAUGUCAGAUUUACACUGCAGCUUGAAAUUUACAUUAGCAUGUCGCGUACGCGAGAUCUAAGUUGCUUCUGAAACAGCCAUUUCAAAAUUUAUCUUGCCUUCGUUAUCGUUGAUUUACACAGGUUGUCUUCGAAACCGUCAUCGUUAUUUGAAGGGUAGAUUCUAUAGAACAUUCUAACACAAAGAUAUAAAGACUGUAGUAGUAUUUAAGUGGAAGUAAGCUAUUAAAGUUCAAUAAUGGUAGAACUGAAAUUUUGUCUUAGAAUGUUUCAUACAUAGAAUCUAUCCUUAUUUAUUAUCAGUAGUUUUUAGACAAUUUGCACAGUUUUGUACAAGUUAACGAUAUCUUAUCUGAUAAUGUGAAUACACAUCAACAUUGUUUCUAAAUUAGAGGACUGCUCACUAAGCACUACAAGUGUAACGAUCGUCAAUAUUAUUAUUGAUAAAUUCGAAACUACAAGAAAUUCUAUAUAAUAAAUGUAACAGUAACAAGUUAAUAAUUGAAACAAGAUUGUAGCAUUUCGAAUUUCAUUUUAACACUUCGAAGUUCAAAUAACUAUGAAUUCCGGAUCCAGCUCGAAUAAUUUUGCUAGGCUAACAGCAAUACAACAAUCGAAAUUAUAAACAGUAGAGGAAAG